GUCUACAGCCAUGCCACCCUGAACAAGCCUGAUGUCUGAUCUGGGAAGCUAAGCAGGGUCGGGCAUGGUUAGUACUUGAAUGAGAGACCGCGUAGGAAGACCAGAUGCUGUAGGUG
rnacentral:rRNA from 1 species